UGAAAUCUUGGGAAGAAGGCAGAAGGUUACGAAUGCUCACAGGAUAAUACUUUCUGCAGUAUUGUAGAGUUUUGCUUUCUUCCCAGAUUUUCU